rnacentral:tRNA from 1 species
AAGCUCUUAGCUUAAUUAAAGUGUCUGUUUUGCAUGCAGAAGAUGUGAGUUAGUGUCUCGCAGGGCUUA